rnacentral:rRNA from 1 species
UUCGUAGGCGGUGCGGCAAGUCGGGAGUGAAAUCUCUGGGCUUAACUCAGAGGCUGCUUCCGAAACUGCUGUGCUCGAGUGUGGGAGAGGCGCGUGGAAUUGCAGGUGUAGCGGUGAAAUGCGUAGAUAUCUGCAGGAACACCCGUGGCGAAAGCGGCGCGCUGGACCACAACUGACGCUGAGGAACGAAAGCUAGGGGAGCAAACAGGAUUAGAUACCCUGGUAGUCCUAGCCCUAAACGAUCAGGACUUGGGGUGCCGCCCGUUCGGGCGUCGUCCCGGAGCUAACGCGUUAAGUCCUGCACCUGGGGAGUACGGUCGCAAGACUGAA